AAAAAAGUCAACAUGACAAAAAUGGUCAGUUGACCCCUUAAGGAGUUAUUGUCCUUUAUAGUCAAUUUUUGUCAUUUUUUGUAAAUUUUUGUUAUCUUGUACAAAAAUCUUCUCCUCUGAAACUACUAAUUAAAAUUUAACCAAACUUGUCCACAAUCAUCAUUGUAUCUAGUUUUAAAAAUGUGUCCGAUUACCCUGCCUGCGAACCAAUAAAAUACAGCAAAGUAAGACCUACAAAUAGGUCAGCGUAAUCAAAAUGGUCAAUUAACCCGUUAAGGAGUUAUUGCUCUUUAAAGUAACUUUUUAACAAUUUUCAUAAAUUUUGUGUAAUUUUUUAUACGUUUAUGAUAUGCACAUUGACCAAAGUGAGCGACACGGGCUCUUUAAAGCCUCUAAAUUGAGCUUUAAAACUGAAUUGGUUAACGAAUACACAU
rnacentral:lncRNA from 1 species